rnacentral:misc_RNA from 1 species
ACUGAUCAGUUUGAGUCUGGCAUUCAGACCAUUGCUGUCAUUCAAGCUGGCCAUGGACUUCUACAACUGGGUUCUUGCAAGAUUAUACCUGAAGACCUUCAUUUUGUGCUGAGAAUGAGGCAUGCCUUUGAAUCUUUGGGUUACCAAUCUGGUUUCUACCUUUCCCAGCUCUUUUCUUCAACCCGAAAUACUUCCUCUUCAUCUUCAAUUCCCUCUAAGCAAUCUCCCAUUCCAACCCGCCCACCUUCGCCUCUCUUCAACUGGGGUCAAAGGCCACUCCCAACUGCAGCUUCUAUGCUUUCUUCGCCAAAU